rnacentral:rRNA from 1 species
GUCUACAGCUAUGCCACCCUGAACAUGCCUGAUCUUGUCUGAUCUUGGAAGCUAAGCAGGGUCAGGCCUGGUUAGUACUUGGAUGGGAGACCACCUAGGAACACCAAAUGCUGUAGACA